ncrna:Streptococcus intermedius BA1 purine-TTA riboswitch
UAUAAUCUCCAUAAUAAGGUUGGAGAGUUUCUACCGUCUUACCGUAAAUAAGCGUGGCAUA